UACGUAGGGUGCGAGCGUUGUCCGGAAUUACUGGGCGUAAAGAGCUCGUAGGUGGUUUGUCGCGUUGUUCGUGAAAUUCCCUGGCUUAACUGGGGGCGUGCGGGCGAUACGGGCAGACUGGAGUACUGCAGGGGAGACUGGAAUUCCUGGUGUAGCGGUGGAAUGCGCAGAUAUCAGGAAGAACACCCGUGGCGAAGGCGGUUCUCUGGGACGGUACUGACGCUGAGACGCGAAAGCGUGGGGAGCGAACAGG
rnacentral:rRNA from 1 species